rnacentral:rRNA from 1 species
GAUCAUGGCUCAGAUUGAACGCUGGCGGCAGGCCUAACACAUGCAAGUCGAACGGUAACAGGAAGAAGCUUGCUUCUUUGCUGACGAGUGGCGGACGGGUGAGUAAUGUCUGGGAAACUGCCUGAUGGAGGGGGAUAACUACUGGAAACGGUAGCUAAUACCGCAUAACGUCGCAAGACCAAAGAGGGGGGACCUUCGGGCCUCUUUCCACUCGGAUGUGCCCACGAUGGGAGUUAGCUAGUAGGUGGGG